GAUGAAGAACGCAGCGAAAUGCGAUAAGUAAUGUGAAUUGCAGAAUUCCGUGAAUCAUCGAAUCUUUGAACGCACAUUGCGCCCCCUGGCAUUCCGGGGGGCAUGCCUGUCCGAGCGUCAUUUCUGCCCUCCAGCCCGGCUGGGUGUUGGGCGCUGUCCCCCCGGGGACACGCCCCAAAGGCAGUGGCGGCGCCGCGUCGGGUCCUCGAGCGUAUGGGGCUUUGUCACCCGCUCGGGACGGACUCGUCAGCGCUGGUCUUCCUCCAGGCGACCCUUCGGGGCUCGUCUUCCUUCGGUUGACCUCGGAUCAGGUAGGGUUACCCGCUGAACUUAAGCAUAUCAAUAAGCGGAGGA
rnacentral:misc_RNA from 1 species